AUGGCUGUCGUCAGCUCGUGCCGUGAGGUGUUGGGUUAAGUCCCGCAACGAGCGCAACCCCUGCUUUCAGUUGCUACCGGGUCAUGCCGAGCACUCUGAAAGGACUGCCCAGGAGAACGGGGAGGAAGGUGGGGGUGACGUCAAGUCAGCAUGGCCUUUAUGCCUGGGGCCACACACGUGCUACAAUGGCCGGUACAAAGCGCUGCAAACCCGUGAGGGGGAGCCAAUCGCAAAAAACCGGCCUCAGUUCAGAUUGAGGUCUGCAACUCGACCUCAUGAAGGCGGAAUCGCUAGUAAUCGCGGAUCAGCACGCCGCGGUGAAUACGUUCCCGGGCCUUGUACACACCGCCCGUCACACCACGAAAGCCUGUUGUACCUGAAGUCGCCCACGCCAACCGCAAGGAGGCAGUGCCCACGGUAUGGCCGGUGAUUGGGUG
rnacentral:rRNA from 1 species